CCCGCUGAACUUAAGCAUAUCAAUAAGCGGAGGAAAAGAAACUAACAAGGAUUCCCCUAGUAACUGCGAGUGAAGCGGGAAAAGCUCAAAUUUAAAAUCUGGCGGUCUUGCGGCCGUCCGAGUUGUAAUCUGGAGAAGCGUUUAUCCGCGUCGGACCGUGUACAAGUCUUCUGGAAGGGAGCGUCGUAGAGGGUGAGAAUCCCGUCUUUGACACGGACAACCGGUGCUUUUGUGAUGCGCUCUCGAAGAGUCGAGUUGUUUGGGAAUGCAGCUCAAAAUGGGUGGUAAAUUCCAUCUAAAGCUAAAUAUUGGCGAGAGACCGAUAGCGAACAAGUACCGCGAGGGAAAGAUGAAAAGCACUUUGGAAAGAGAGUUAAACAGUACGUGAAAUUGUUGAAAGGGAAACGUUUGAAGUCAGUCGCGUCGGCCGAGACUCAACCUUGCUUCUGCUCGGUGCACUUCUCGGUUGACGGGUCAGCAUCAAUUUUGACCGCCGGAUAAAGGUCGGGGGAAUGUGGCAUCCUUCGGGAUGUGUUAUAGACCUCGAUUCGGAUACGGCGAUUGGGAUUGAGGAACUCGGCGCUUCUGCGUCCAGGAUGCUGGCAUAAUGGCUUUAAGCGACCCGUCUUGAAACACGG
rnacentral:rRNA from 1 species